AUGAUGGCCUCCUCGUCUUCCUCCUCCGACCUCAGCGCGGAUCACCAGCUCUUGCAAGAUGACCUCCCAUGGCCUUCUUCUUCCCUGCCGCCGCCGCUCGCUCCAGCUCUUCAUCAUGCUGUCGGAGGCAACCACCACCAAUGGAGCCAACCACUAAUGCUUGAGCAGUUGAGUUCAGACGAGCUUGAGGCACUCUUGUCAGCACAAGGCCACCAGCAUCAUAGCACUCACAGCCAGUUGCUUGCUGCUCCAUUGACAACAAACCCUCAUCAUCAGCUGAGCUCACUGCUGAUGAUGCAAGAGCUAGGGUUCCAAUGGAGUAGCAGCUGUGGCACCGCCGAUGGAGACUCAAACGAGACAGCGCAAGAUGCGGUCAAAGAGGACGCCGAGCUACCGGGGCCCCUUGUGCUCCCAAGACCGUCAUCGUCGUCGAGCAUCGCUUACGACGACGACAUGGCCGUCGACGUGCUCCCGAGCGUCAACAUCUCGCGGCUGCAGAAGAUUCCGUGCCCAGUCGCGGCGGGGCCUUUUGGCGGCCGGGCGGAGGCGACACUCGAGAUGCUAGCUUCGGCUAAAUUCUGCAAGAGCCUGCUGAGCUGCAGCCAAGCUUCUUCGACGGUGCUGCUCCAUAAUGGCGGUGGGACGGCGCCAUUGCUGGGGAUGGGAGGGCAUCAUGUGGCAUAUGGCCCUCCUCCUCCUGUUCAUCGUCUUCAAGGCCCAUCCUCCAUUCUCCACACCUACAACAAGAUGGGUGUGCCUGCUGCUUUAGUGAGCGGAAACGGAAGUGCGCUGCAACCAGCCGCGGGGAGAUCAUCAGGAGGGGGAGGCCUGCACGACGAGCAGCAAUUGCAAGUGGUAGCAGUAUCGUCGAAGAAGAAGCCUCGGCUGCUCCACUCGCGCCCCGCCACCAACAACAAUAUCCUCCCUUCUUUCAAGGUAAGGAAAGAGAAGCUAGGGGAUAGGAUUGCUGCUCUUCAACAGCUGGUCUCACCCUUCGGCAAGACUGACACAGCAUCAGUGCUGAUGGAGGCCAUUGGGUACAUCAAGUUUCUUCAAGACCAGGUCGAGACUUUAAGCGGGCCGUACAUGAGAUCAGCCAAACAUAAGAAAGCCAGGACAACACAACAGCGGGGGCCGUCAGACACCGGAGAUCAGAAGGAGGAAGCAAAGGUUGAUCUUCGCAGUAGAGGGCUGUGCUUGGUGCCUCUAGCGUGCACAUCCUACGUCACCAACGAGAAUGGCAUCUGGGCCCCACCUAAUUUUAGGGGAAACUAA
rnacentral:rRNA from 1 species